GGAUCUGCUGAUCUUUUCACCUUAGCCGGCAUGAUGGACUUCUUCUUCACCGAGGCCCCGAAAAGCAUGAGAUCUUUGGCCACUUCCCUCUCUUGGGCUUCACUUUCCAUGGGAUACUAUUUCAGUUCAGUGCUUAUAUCAAUGGUCAACAAUAUUACCAGCAUCUUUCGACACACGCCAUGGCUUUUUGGUAGCAAUUUGAAUCACUACCACCUAGAGAGGUUUUAUUGGUUAAUGUGCAUACUUAGCAGUCUAAAUUUCUUCCAUUAUCUCUUCUGGGCAAACCGUUACAAGUACAGAACAGAAAGCACAGCUGAUUAAAAUAUCUAGAGAUCGACUAGUUGUGGUCAACCAAAUUCAUCAGUUGUACACCCCAUUUAUAUGAAUGAUUAAUGUCUAAUACCUUUUCACUUACAUUUGAAUCAGCUAAUAAACGAGUCAAGAAAUGGCCGCAAAGUUGGCAGAGUGCACAAAUCAUCACACUUACCUUGCUUACUGAAUGUUCAAGAGCAACACCAUCCAAGAAAACAGCUUAAUCUUGAAAUAUUUGCCUGCCUCCAAAUAAAAAGAAGGAUGUCUAAGUGGCACGAAAUUAGCAAUAUUAACAACUAACGAGAGUAUGGGUGUUUAAAGUAUAGCAUGCAACUUUUACUUGUAAACAGAUUGAGAUCAAAGUAAAUGAAAAGUGUAAUAUGUAAUGGAACAGUGACCUGGAAUAUGCAUGUUAGCUGGACUCUUCAAGGGAGGAAAAGGGCAAUGUCAGCCCAUCCCCACUUUGAUUGAUCUGACGACAAUAUGUUGAGUACCUGAAACCGGGAAAUGUUGGAACGAAAUAAAUAUUCCAUUGAAAUAAGAG
rnacentral:lncRNA from 1 species